CACGUAGGGGGCAAGCGUUGUCCGGAUUUAUUGGGCGUAAAGAGCUCGUAGGUGGUUCGGUAAGUCGGGUGUUAAACCCCCAGGCUCAACCUGGGGACGCCACUCGAUACUGCUGUGACUAGAGUGCGGUAGGGGAGACUGGAAUUCCUGGUGUAGCGGUGAAAUGCGCAGAUAUCAGGAGGAACACCGGUGGCGAAGGCGGGUCUCUGGGCCGUAACUGACGCUGAGGAGCGAAAGCGUGGGGAGCGAACAGG
rnacentral:rRNA from 1 species